rnacentral:rRNA from 1 species
AGGAUUGCCCCAGUAACGGCGAGUGAAGCGGCAACAGCUCAAAUUUGAAAUCUGGCCCCCCCCCCCCGGGGGGGCCCGAGUUGUAAUUUGCAGAGGAUGCUUUGGGCGAGGCGCCUUCCGAGUUCCCUGGAACGGGACGCCACAGAGGGUGAGAGCCCCGUCUGGUCGGACGCCGAGCCUCUGUAAAGCUCCUUCGACGAGUCGAGUAGUUUGGGAAUGCUGCUCAAAAUGGGAGGUAUAUGUCUUCUAAAGCUAAAUACCGGCCAGAGACCGAUAGCGCACAAGUAGAGUGAUCGAAAGAUGAAAAGCACCUUGAAAAGGGGGUUAAACAGUACGUGAAAUUGUUGAAAGGGAAGCGCUCGUGACCAGACUUGGGGCGGGCGGAUCAGCCGGCGUUCUCGCCGGCGCACUCCGCCCGUCCCAGGCCAGCAUCAGUUCGCGCCGGGGGACAAAGGCGGCGGGAACGUGGCUCCCCAGGGAGUGUUAUCCCCCCCCGCCCCGUCCCCGGGGGGGAGACUGAGGGCCGCGCAUCACUGCAAGGAUGCUGGCGUAAUGGUCACCAGCGACCCGUCUUGAAACACGGGCCAAGGAGUCGUCCUCGUAUGCGAGUGUUCGUGUGUCAAACCCCUACGCGGAAUGAAAGUGAACGUGGGUGAGAGCUUCGGCGCAUCAUCGACCGAUCCUGAUGUUCUCGGAUGGAUUUGAGUAGGAGCAUACGGGGCCGGACCCCAAAAAGAGUGAACUAUGCCUGUGUAGGGUGAAGCCAGAGGAAACUCUGGUGGAGGCUCGCAGCGGUUCUGACGUGCAAAUCGAUCGUCAAACAUGGGCAUGGGGGCGAAAGACUAAUCGAC